rnacentral:lncRNA from 1 species
GCUAGCUACAUCUGUAAACGCUAGCUGGUUAGCCAGGUUAGAUAUGUAGGUAAUGUAGAGAGAGCAGGUCAGUUAUAGAGGGGAAGGUAGUUAGCUAGUUAGCUACAUCUGUAAACGCUAGCUGGUUAGCCAGGUUAGAUAUGUAGGUAAUGUAGAGAGAGCAGGUCAGUUAUAGAGAGGAAGGUAGUUAGCUAGCUAGCUACAUCUGUAAACGCUAGCUGGUUAGCCAGGUUAGAUAUGUAGGUAAUGUAGAGAGCAGGUCAGUUAUAGAGGGGAAGGUAGUUAGCUAGCUAGCUACAUCUGUAAACGCUAGCUGGUUAGCCAGGUAAGAUAUGUAGGUAAUGUAG